UACGUAGGGGGCAAGCGUUGUCCGGAAUUACUGGGCGUAAAGGGAGCGUAGGCGGUCUUUUAAGUUAGAUGUGAAAUACCCGAGCUCAACUUGGGAAGGUGCAUCUAAAACUGGGGGACUUGAGUGCAGGAGAGGAAAGUGGAAUUCCUAGUGUAGCGGUGAAAUGCGUAGAUAUUAGGAGGAACACCAGUGGCGAAGGCGACUUUCUGGACUGUAACUGACGCUGAGGCUCGAAAGCGUGGGGAGCAAACAGG
rnacentral:rRNA from 1 species